rnacentral:rRNA from 1 species
UACAGAGGUCUCAAGCGUUGUUCGGAUUCAUUGGGCGUAAAGGGUGCGUAGGCGGCGCGGUAAGUCGGGUGUGAAAUCUUGGAGCUUAACUCCGAAACUGCAUUCGAUACUGCCGUGCUUGAGGACUGGAGAGGAGACUGGAAUUUACGGUGUAGCGGUGAAAUGCGUAGAUAUCGUGAGGAAGACCAGUGGCGAAGGCGGGUCUCUGGACAGUUCCUGACGCUGAGGCGCGAAGGCCAGGGGAGCAAACGGG